rnacentral:rRNA from 1 species
GAAGACCAAGGGUUCCUGUCCAACGUUAAUCGGGGCAGGGUAAGUCGACCCCUAAGGCGAGGCCGAAAGGCGUAGUCGAUGGGAAACGGGUUAAUAUUCCCGUACUUCUUACAAUUGCGAUGGGGGGACGGAGAAGGCUAGGUGGGCCUGGCGACGGUUGUCCAGGUUCAAGUGCGUAGGCUUAAGAGUUAGGUAAAUCCGGCUCUUUCUAAGGCUGAGACACGACGUCGAGCACCUACGGGUGUGAAGUCAUUGAUGCCAUGCUUCCAGGAAAAGCCUCUAAGCUUCAGAUUGUAAGGAAUCGUACCCCAAACCGACACAGGUGGUCGGGUAGAGAAUACCAAGGCGCUUGAGAGAACUCGGGUGAAGGAACUAGGCAAAAUGGUACCGUAACUUCGGGAGAAGGUACGCUCUUGAUGGUGAAGUCCCUUGCGGAUGGAGCUGACGAGAGUCGCAGAUACCAGGUGGCUGCAACUGUUUAUUAAAAACACAGCACUGUGCAAAAUCGUAAGAUGACGUAUACGGUGUGACGCCUGCCCGGUGCCGGAAGGUUAAUUGAUGGGGUUAGACUUCGGUCGAAGCUCUUGAUCGAAGCCCCGGUAAACGGCGGCCGUAACUAUAACGGUCCUAAGGUAGCGAAAUUCCUUGUCGGGUAAGUUCCGACCUGCACGAAUGGCGUAAUGAUGGCCACGCUGUCUCCACCCGAGACUCAGUGAAAUUGAAAUCGCUGUGAAGAUGCAGUGUACCCGCGGCUAGACGGAAAGACCCCGUGAACCUUUACUACAGCUUGGCACUGAACAUUGACCCUACAUGUGUAGGAUAGGUGGGAGGCUUUGAAGCACGUACGCCAGUAUGUGUGGAGCCGUCCUUGAAAUACCACCCUUGUAGUGUUGAUGUUCUAACGUCGACCCCUAAUCGGGGUUGCGGACAGUGCCUGGUGGGUAGUUUGACUGGGGCGGUCUCCUCCCAAAGAGUAACGGAGGAGCACGAAGGUGGGCUAAUCACGGUUGGACAUCGUG